rnacentral:rRNA from 1 species
GGGUCAGUAGGUUGGUCGUGCCACCGGUACGUACUGGUCUCACUGAUUCCUCCUUCCUCUAGAACCGUAAUGCCAUUAAUUUGGUGUUGCGGGGAAACAGGACUGUUACUUUGAAAAAAUUAUAGUGUUUAAAGCAAGCUAACGCUUGAAUACAUUAGCAUGGAAUAAUGAAAUAGGACGAUCGAUCCUAUUUUGUUGGUUUCUAGGAUUGACGUA